rnacentral:rRNA from 1 species
GUGCCAGCAGCCGCGGUAAUACAGAGGUCUCAAGCGUUGUUCGGAUUCAUUGGGCGUAAAGGGUGCGUAGGUGGCGAGGUUAGUCAGGUGUGAAAUCUCGGGGCUCAACCCCGAAACUGCACUUGAUACUGCCUUGCUAGAGUACUGGAGAGGAGAUUGGAAUUUACGGUGUAGCAGUGAAAUGCGUAGAUAUCGUAAGGAAGACCAGUGGCGAAGGCGAAUCUCUGGACAGUUACUGACACUGAGGCACGAAGGCCAGGGGAGCAAACGGGAUUAGAAACCCCUGUAGUCC